ACUCAAAGGAAUUGACGGGGGCCCGCACAAGCGGUGGAGCAUGUUGUUUAAUACGUAACUAACCGUAGAACCUUACCAGGGCUUGACAUCCGCUGUCGGGGCGGGAAACCGUCCUCUCCCCGCAAGGGGACAGCGAGACAGGUGUUGCAUGGCUGUCGUCAGCUCGUGUCGUGAGAUGUUGGGUUAAGUCCCGCAACGAGCGCAACCCUCACCCCCUGUUGCCAGCGCGUGAAGGCGGGGACUCUGGGGGAACUGCCUGUGUAAGCAGGAGGAAGGUGGGGACGAAGUCAAGUCAGCAUGGCCCUUACGCUCUGGGCUACAAACAUGCUACAAUGGACGGCAGACAGAGGGACCCGAGACCGCGAGGUGGAGGCAAUCUCACAAAUCCGUCCCCAGUUCAGAUCGCAGGCUGCAACUCGCCUGCGUGAAGUCGGAAUCGCUAGUAACCGCCGAUCAGCCAAGCGGCGGUGAAUACGUUCCCGGGCCUUGCACACACCGCCCGU
rnacentral:rRNA from 1 species